UGUAUCAAGAUCACUAAGUUCGAAUAUCAAGCAAUUGAGAAGUCAAGUGAUAUUGCUGAUAUAACAUAUGAGGGAGCAAUUCGGAAGAACUCAUAUCAUCACGCUCCUGUUUGGUCAAGCUAUCUUCAAAGGAAAUUCCAACUGCCUGUUACACGUUGCUCUGAUUACUGAGAACUGAAGGCAUGACAGUGUGAAAGACUAGCCACUGAAUAAUGAGC
rnacentral:sRNA from 1 species